rnacentral:lncRNA from 1 species
AUGUAUUUCCUAUACUCUGGACAAAUGCUGAGCAGAGUCACCAAAGCUGUCUCCAGGAGGGCUGUCUCCGUCUUACCCAGCCCUGUUCCCUGCUUCUGCUUCCUCCACCCUUGUGGCCCAAUGCAGCCAGCACCACAAGUGGGGAUGGGAUGGAGCCUGUGGGUCCAUCCAGGCCUCUGGCUGGCACAUGACAGAGAAUCUGCGCUCCUCCCUCCAUGGACCUCUCUGCGAUCCCUUCCUCCUCCCCAGCCCUGACUCAUAACCUCAGGACACUGAUCUGCCUUUUGAUACGGGAGACUCAUCCUAUAGCAUUGAUACUGGAAGGACUAUCUUUUUUUUUUUUGGCUGGCAUGAUUAUUCUGAGAUUCAGCCAGGCAAUGUUUGUCAGCAUAUUAUCCCGCUGUGUUAGCCUAUCCUCUCAAUGAAGGUGGACAUGUAGAGUUUGUUGCCAUUCUGGAUAAAGCCUCUCUGUGUCUGAGUCUUUGAAUGGCCAUGUGCCCACUUCCCUGGGACAAACCUCUCAGUGUGCAAUAGCUGGGCCAUCUGGUAGGUGUGACUGUUUUGGUCCCUACAUAUUGAAGAUGGUCCAGCCGAACUGUCUACCCAUGUCUAUGUCUGCCUCCAGGCAGGUGUAAAUCUCCCUCUCUUCCUAGGGAUGGCAUUACUAACUUGAAGAACAUCCAUAGAUUGUAUGUAUGUGUACACACAUAUAUUAUAUACAUAAAUAAUUUAUAAAUACACACACACACACACACACACACACACACACACACACACACACACACACACGCAUGUGGGAUUUACAAGCCUGGCUUGGAGGACAUAGUCUGGAUAGCCCAACAAUGGCUGUGUCUGAGAGCCUGGUAGUGAGAGCCCUGUAGCUGUUCAGCCCACAAGGCUGGGUUGGGCGUCUGGAGCUGGGGUCUUGAGGGAUUCCUGAAGAUCUGCUGGUUUACACUGUAAUCCUGAAGAAAUUGGGUUUAUCACUGGCCACACACAGCACAGGACAGAUGAAAUUGCCAGUGAGAGCAAGGGCAAGCAGGCACAAAGCAAAGCCUCCUUUUAUCUGGGCUGACCUCGGUCCAGAUUAGGGUAGGUCUUCUUGCUGCAAGUAAUCUAAUGAAGAAAAGCCCUCAAAGGUGUGCAGAGCCACUUGGGUUUUAGUUGACUCCAGAUGUAGCCAAACUGACAAGCCAGACGAGCCAUCGUGACACAGAGACAGCUGCAACAGACUGGCUUCAUUAGGAUUUUCCUU